GCUGGUCUUCUCACAUCUGAUGUUGAAGAGCUUACCCUGACCGCUUUUUUCCUACAAGAUUCAGCCCUACAUCACAUCUUGUGGUUCAAGGCUGUCCAGUAGUAAAGACAUCCCGUGUGCCACAGACAGCCCACUCCAUCUUUUCCCCUUGGCUCUCACCUCUGCAAUAUGCCCCUCCUUAGACCCAAGACCAGCACAAGAAGCAAUGCCCUCAUUUUGCCUUUGGAUUUAUUCCAGUGUGACUGAAUCUCCACUUUAUGGUGUAGUGAUUCUGGAGUCAGGCCCAGGUUCAAAUCACAUUCCUUUACAUAUUAACUGUGCUACUUUGGGCAAGUUGCCCACUCCCAUUUCUUCAUCUGAAAAAUAAGGAUAAUAAUCAUUCCUACUUCAUAAGGUUAUUGUAAGGACUAAUAAUUUCAUGCCCAAUAAGUAGUUUUGAGCAGUGCCUGGCACAAAAUGAGUACUCCAUACAUAUUAUCUGUCAUUAGGGGUUCUCUCAAGGUACUAUUUAAGAUUUUUUUUUUAAAGAAAUCAAGAGAUAUCUGCUGUGAAAUAAAAAUCACGUACAUUGGGCUGGGCGCAGUGGCUCAUGCCUGUAAUCCCAGCCCUUUGGGGGGCCGAGGCAGGCGGAUUACCUGAGGUUGGGAGUUCGAGACCAGACUGAUCAACAUGGAGAAACCCCGUCUCCACUAAAAAUACAAAAUUACCCAGGCAUGGUGGCGCAUUCCUGUAAUCCCAGCUACUUGGGAGGCUGAGGCAGGAGAAUCGCUUGAACCAGGAGGCGGAGGUUGCGGUGAGCUGAGAUCGUGCCAUUGCACUCCAGCCUGGGCAAUGAGUGAAACUCCAUCUCAAAAAAAAAAAAAAAAAAAAGAAUGAUGUAUAUUGGUCUCCACCCCAAGUUCCUGGCACAGAGCUUCGAAAACCCUUGUGAUUUCCUGAGCAAUAGGGGUUCUAGGAGAAACUUUUGUUGGAAUUAUUGGGUCUCUGCCCCAGGUACCUGAGACAGAGCUCUUAAACCUUUGAUUUCCUGAGUAAUAGGAACACCUGACUUAGAGUUCCUGAAUCCCUUGGAAUUUUUCUGAGGAACAUCUUUUUUUCUAAUAAGGGGACUCUUGGUGAGCUCCUGGACAGGGGCUGCUCACUGGAAAGACUAAGCAAUGAUUAGAAGCUUGGAGCUUUCAGCCCCAUCCUCCAUUCUUUAGAGAUGGGGAAGGGCUAGAGACUGAAUUAAUCUUCCAUCAUGCCUACCUGAUGAAGCCGAAGUACUGAACUAUGGGGUUCAGAGAGCUUCCGGAUAGCAGAACACGUCCAUGUGCUGGGAGGGUGGUGCACCCCAACUCCAUGGGGACAGAAGCUCCUGCACUCAGGACCCUUCCACACCUGAUCUCUUCAUCUGGCUGUUCAUCUACAUCUUUUUUUUUUUUUGAGACAGGAUCUCACUCUGUCACCUAGGCUGGAGUGCAGUGGCAUAAUCACGGCUCACUGCAGCCUCGACGUCCUGGGCUCAAACAGAUCCUCCCACCUCCUGAGUAGCUGAGGCAGGAGAAUGGUGUGACCCAGGAGGCGGAGCUUGCAGUGAGCCGAGAUCGCGCCGUUGCACUCCAGCCUGGGCAACAGAACGAGACUCCGAUUCAAAAAAAAAAAAAGAAAGAAAGUACCAACUAUUUUUCCUGUCUCACACAUCUGCUAAAAAGGUUUUCUCUCUUCGCAUGAGCUCAUGGGCUUUCUGAGCAUUUCUGUACCCAGAUCGCAGCUUAAUGCCAUAUAUGCCACAGAAACACACCCCUGACCAGCACACAGACAGCUACUUAGCUGUUUAAUGGUUUCACCUAGACUCACAAUUUCAAGGUCUCACUUUCACUCACAGCAGCCCAAUCAAAGGGUUAGAAUUGGUAAACAAACAGGCUCGGAGCGGUAUAACAGAAAAAUAAUUUCUUUUGGCUUUUCUUGCUCUUGGUCAAUGAAACUUUGAUCAGAGAGAACAUCUGAGGCUAUACUUGUUUCAAGUUGUGUUUGUUUGAAAAAAAAAAAAAAGUUAGCCAGGCACAGUGGCUCAUGCCUGUAGUCCCAGCACUUUGGGAGGCCAAGGUGGGAGGAUUGCUUGAGUCCAGGAGUUCCAGACCAGCCUGGGCAACAUAGCAAGACCUUGUCUCUACAAAAAAAAAAAAAAAAACAGUGAGGGGAAGUGUGAUUUAUUUGUUUUUUUUUUUUAUUUUAAAUCUUUUUUUUUUUUUUUUUUGAGACAGAGUCUUGCUCUGUAGCCCACGUUGGAGUGCAGUGGCAUGAUCUUGGCUCACUGCAACCUCCACCUCCCGGGUUCAAGCGAUUUUCCUGUCUCAGCCUCCCGAGUAGCUGUGACUACAGGCACAUGACACCACGCCCAGCUAAAUUUUGUGUUUUUAGCAGAGAUGCAGUUUCACCAUAUUGGUCAGGCUGGUCUUGAACUCCUGACCUCAGGUGAUCCAUCCGCCUCGGCCUCCCAAAGUGCUGGGAUUACAGGCGUGAGCCACUGCGCCCAGUCAAUUCUACCCUUAAUAAGUAAUAUAUUCACAGGGCUUACAACACUUAAAAACACAAAAGGGUACACAAUGAAGUUUCCCUCCCUCCCGUGACCCUAGCCACCCAGUUCUCUUCUCAGAAGCAACCAAUAUUACCAAUUUGGUACUGGAUACUGGAUAUUCCUAUAGAUAUUCUGUACAAAUAUAAGCAAAUACACGUUUUUAUCUUUUAGUACAGAUUUCCACUUGCUCUUUAAAUUUAAUUGUAUUACAUAUAUAAUAUAGGUUUAUUACAUAUUUAAUAUAGGUUUAAUUUGAAAGUAAAGGCAAAAACUGCAAUUACUUUUGCACCAACUAAUACAUACAAAAGAAUAUUUAUAUCAUGUUUAAGAUUUUUUUUUUAAUUUUGGCUGGGUGCAGUGGCUUAUGCCUGUAAUCCUAGCACUUUGGGAGGCCGAGGCAGGCGGAUCACUUGAAGUCAGGAGUUUCAGACCAGCCUCGUCAACAUGGGGAAACCCCGUCUCUACUAAAAAUACAAAAAUUAGCUGGGCAUGGUGGUUCACAGUUGUAAUCCCAGCUACUUGGUAGGCUGAGGCAGGAGAAUUGCUUGAACCAGGGAGGCAGAGGUUGCGGUGAGCCGAGAUUGUGCCACUGUACUCCAGCCUAGGUGACAGAGGGAGACUCUGUCUCAAAAAUAUAUAUAUCUAUAUGUAUAGAUAGAUUUUUUAAAAAAUUUUAAGCCAUCACUCAGCUUAAGAAACAUAAACAUUUCAUCAGCCCCCAGUUGAUAAGCCUACAGAUGGUUUCCAACUUCCUGUUGUUAUGCCCACAGCUACAAUGAGUUUCCUCGUGUAUCCACCAUUUUAUAUGCGUGCAGUAUAUAUCUGUAAGAUAAAUUCCUAGAUGACGAAUUCCUAAGUCAAAGGGGAUGGUCACAGGUCAUUUCUAUAGAUAAAUAUCUGGAUUGUCCUCCACAGAAAUUGAAAAAAAUUGAUUCGUUUGUUUCUGAAAGUUUCCAAGAUGCCUAGAAGUCUAACAGGUGUAAAAAUCAUUUAAGUGACAGAAGACAGGAAAGCAAAAGGAUCUCAUUUAAGUGACAGUUCUUGUUAAAAAUAUAUAAAGCAUAACUAUCUCUUGUUUCCCCUGAGGCAAUCAUGUAAAACAACUCCUGACGGUGCCUUCGAUACUUGGGGAAGUGCCCAAACAUAUACUUUAUUCUGGUGUAAUUCCUGUAAGGAUUAAUAUUGCUCAGAACUGACAGGAAUUAUUAGUUCCCGCAAUGAGGUAAUUACAGAAUCAAGUUCAGCCACACUUUUUUGACUUUGUUUACUUUAAAAUGCCUGCUGCCUUAGAUAUUUAAGAUGUGCAUCUUGGGUUCCAAGUUUCGAAACAAAAAUCCCUGCAGAGGCGGAGGCUGCAGUGAGCCAAGAUCGUGCACACCAGCCUGAGCGACAGAGCAAGACUCUGUCUCAAAAUAACAACAACAACAAAAAUCCUUGCAAUAUAUAAGUUCUCUCAAUAUUCAAAAGCAUAAGGAACAAGCUGGAUGAUCAUUAACAAAGGGUUUAUCCAGAAAUACAACAACCGUCAGAUUAUAGGAACCUCUGCAAUGCAAUGUCAUGACCACUGGGGUUUGGCAUUGGAGAUGCAAGAACCUAAAUAUCACCCUUUUUGGGGAGGGCCACUAACUUGAGCCCUGUCAUAAGGAUCAGACCUAAAAAGAUGCUCUUAAAAUCCAGAGAUUGGAGAAAGUCAAUAUUCCCCCACCUGACCAGAUGCCUAAAUCAAGAGUAUUAGCACAUUUUACAACCAAACAUGAAUGGGCUGAGAUACAGUUCCUGACCUCUCUUGCCACUUUCUGUAAUUAGCCACACCAGCCACCACUUUGGAAAGGUGCUAAAGUUUACCCACUUACUAAAAACAGCCUAAUUACACUUAAAAUUAGCAAUAUACCUAAAUCCAUAUUUCAUGAUACAUGGUCCCAGAACACCUGCAGUAGACUUCCGGGUGGGGAAGUGGGAGUGAGUCUGGCUAUUAAAAUGCUGAUUUCGGCUGGGCGCGGUGGCUCAUGCCUGUAAUCUCAGCACUUUAGGAGGCCAAGGAGGGUGGAUUGCCUGAGCUCAGGGGUUCCAGACCAGCCUGGGCAACAUGGUGAAACGCUGUUUCUACUAAAAUUACAAAAAUUAGCCAGGCGUGGUGGCACACGCCUGUAGUCUCAGCUACUCAGGAAGCUGAGGCAGAGAAUCGCUUGAACCCAGGAGGCGACGGUUGUAAUGAGCCAAGAUUGCACCACUGCACUCCAGCCAGGCGAGAGUGGGAGACUCCGUCUCAAAAAAAAAAAAAAAAAAAAAAAUUUCUGGGCAUGGGGUUUGAGGAUAUUGGUAACACAAGUGGUUGCUCACUACAGGUCCUCGCUGGAAACAGCACUAAAGAACCAGGAUGUGGACUGACUCCUCUGUGCAAGUCACCGACAGUGCCCAUGUUUAUACUGUAGGCCCACGAACCAAGCAGCCAUGGCGGCAGGGACGGAGGUGUGCAUGGACUCAAUCACCAUCUUUCCCUCACCAGAGCUGACUCAGCUGCCUUCUCUGCUGAAGCCCUAAGUGGAGACCAAGGCUGAGCUAUGGCAUCUUAAUUAUGAGGCAUCCCUUCCAAAAGGGAAGACAGAGCUUUGCGUGUGGCAGUAUCAUAGCCAAUGAGGUUUAUCCGAGGCGUGAUUAUUGCUAAUUGAAAACAAAAUGGAAGACAGGUGACUUUUCCCCUCCCUUGAAUAAACACUUCUUCCACACAUGGAUUUCCUUUUCCUAAUCACCAUGCUUCUGCCAGCAACUUACCAACUCAAUGAAUGCCUCAUCCACUGCCACAACGCCAGACACCCACAUUGCUUCUGAUCACAAAUCCAUUCACAGCAAAAGAAAUGGGUCCAUAUGCUGGUACCCCCCAGAUGCUCUGAUCUUACCGUGGUCCCCAGGGGUAGGUGAUCUUCUUGAUGGUAGAAUGAAUGGCCCAUUGGAGACUGAGCUACAGUAUCCGCUGGCAGACACCACCUGGUGACACUGGGGUUCUGUCCCAUAAGAUGUAGUAGAUGCUCUGAACCAGUGACAGUACUGCCAGAGUUCACAGGUCUGGGCACCAAGGCUAGAAGUGAGUGCAUCUCCGACUGCUACACCUGAGGUCAGGCAGUGUCAGCCAACAGAAGAUAAGGGAGAAAAAAAGGGUCAGAUCAGGGUAAACAGAAUGUGAGGUCCCUGAGGAAGGAAUGAGCUUGUCCUGCUCACCAAAAGAAACCUAACGGGGGAAGCAGGACAGGGAAUGGGCCAGCAGUAGCAGAGCUGAAAUCACAGAGACAGCCGUAAUCCAGACCACACAGGGCCUGAGAGCCAGGGUAGAACAGUAUAUUUAGCUUAAGGACAUGCUGAGGCCAUUGCAAAGUGGUGGUGGUUUGUUGUUGUUUGAAAACGGGAAUGAGAUAGUCUGGUUUUUAACAGAUCACUCUGUAUGAAGGAGACAUGAAGCAGAAAGAAAAAAUAAAGAUCACUUUGGCUGCUUUGUGAAGAAAACACUGCAAAGUGGGAAGAGGUCAAGGAAAAAAAGCAAAGAGUUAUUGGAGUGGUGCCUGAGGCUUCCCCAUGACCUGGAUGAAAUAUCCCUGAAAGUUAUCCAGCUUUCUUUCCUCUCUGUCAAUGCUGAAGAAGGGCUGCAUGAACCAAGGGAUGGAUCGAGUCAAAGGGAGCGUCCUACAGAGUGAGAACUGAGGAGUGUUUGCCCUGCUUCAGAGACAGUGGCCCUGGAGGACAGACAGGUUUUGAUGUCAUGAGAGGUCUCCUUGGAGGGGCAGAAAUGGGUAAUUCGUUCUUCAAAAUGGAAGAAUCAGCUGACAACCUGGCAAACAGCAGUCUCCCCUGCUGACCCACAUCCUCCUGCAGUACCACCCCCUUUCUCUGCCCCCUUCCCAAACCACUCUACUUCCUUCCUCCUGUUCCCUCCUGAACCUACUGAAAUUAGGCUGUCAUCCCCAUCACUCCACUGAAAUUGCCCACAGACCUCCACAGUGCCAAAACCAACGGUCAUCCCAGUCCUCAACUUACUCAACUGAUCAGCAACAUCUGACAGAGCUGAUCCCUCUCCCCUUCUAAUACCACUUUCUCCUUUGGGCAUCCUUGUUUUCUCCUCCUUCCUCCAUGACCAUUCCAUCUGUCUUCCCAUCUCCUAAGCCCUAAAUAAAAGCUCCCUAGGCUAGGUCCCUGGACCUUUCCUCUAUCCACACACAUUCUCUCAAUGAUAUCAUAGAGGCCUGUAUCUUUAAAUGUCAUCUAUUAACAGAUGUCUCCCAAUUUGAUAUUCCUAUCCUACAUCUCUCCACUUGACUCUGGGACCCCUUUAUCCAGCAUAUAUAUAUAUAUAUAUAUAUAUGCACACACACACACACACACAUAUAUAUAUACACACACAUAUAUACAUAUGGAGAGAUAGAGAGAGAGAGAGAGAGAGAGAGAGAGAGAGAAAGCAGCGAGCCAGAGUCUCACUCUGUCGCCCAGGCUGGAGUGCAGUGAUGUGAUCUCAGGCUCACUACAACCUCCGCCUACCACACCCGGCUACCAACUCCUAUUUGACAGCUCCUGUUAGACAUCCAACUGGCACCUCAAAUUUAACAUGCCCCCAGUAAAACUCCUGAUCUUCCUCCCCAAAAUUACUCCACCCACAAUCUUCCCCAACUCAGUAAAUAGCAACCAAUCUUCCACACAUUGUAGAAGUUCAUUGUCUGUCUUCUCCACAAGAAUGUAAUAUCCAUGAGCGCAGGACUCACUGCUGAAUCACCAGGGCAGUGAUACAGCAACAGUAGAGGUCUUGAACUCCUGGCCUCAAGUGAUCUGCCCACUUCAGCCUCCCAAAGUGCUGGGAUUAUAGGCAUGAGCCACCACACGCAGCCCUCCAGCUCUUUUAAAUAAGCAUCCUCCAUGAAGAAUUUCUGCAAAUCAUCAAGCUGUUAAUUGCUAUAUGCUGAAUGUACACAAGCCCCUACCAGUCUGAGAGUCCUGUGUAAAUCAUUUUCUCUUUCAAAUCCUGAUGAAAAAGGGACUCAAAGAGAAUCCAAACCACAGCCUGCAGGCUUCCUCAUGCUUCUGCUUCACUACUGAGCCAGCCACUGGUCAUGGUGUGUACUGCUGUCAACCACCAAAAUACCAGACUCAGUCAGAACACUGCUGUCCACUGUUCUACGGAAAAUCAGCAGCUACCUCCAAGGCUCCCACAGAGCCACAUGGGGCCCCCAGUGACACAGUUCUUUCUUUCCUUCCCAGGAGACAGGGCUUUCAAGAGAGUAAGAGAGUACAGGUAAGGGUGCACCGUGGCACAUCUCUCAUGGCACCUGCCAUCAAGGAACACUCUAAUGUAUAAUCAUCUAGUCUGGUCCUCUCAGCCAGAUGUCAUCUUCACUUACAUUGAUUUUCUCUCAGGGACCUGUUCAUGUUUUUCUCUCCUCUAGCAAAGACAUCUUUGAGGACCUCUAGCCCACGGGACAAGCCUAUAAACGUCUGAACCCUAAAUGAGAACACAGACCAUUUGGCUUCUUUCCCACAAGGCUCCUGAACCUCAUGCAAAACAACAGGACUGGAUAGACGUCUGUGUUCAGGGUUUGUGAACAUUCUGGGAAGGGCAGUAAUUCCACAAAAACUGUGGGACACUAAGGGGGCAGUCUGCGCAAGGACACAGAGGCUUACACCACAAAUUCUUCUUAUUCUUUUUCGACGGAGUCUCACUCUUGUCGCCCAGACUCCCUCUCAAAAAGAAAAUUUUUUGCUUUAGUCAGCCAGGCACUAUGGUUCAUACCUGUAAUCCCAGCAUUUUGGGAGGCCAAAGUGGGUGGAUUACUUGAGGUCAGGAGUUCGAGACUAGCCUGGCCAACAUGGUAAAAUCCCAUCUCUACUAAAAAUACAAAAAUUAGCCAGGUGUAGCGGCGCAUGCCUGUAAUCCCAGAAACUCAGGAAGCGGAGGCAGGAGAGUCACUUAAAUCUGGGAGGUGGAAGUUGCAGUGAGCCAAGAUUGUGCCACUGCACUCUAGCCUGGGAAACAGAGCAAGACGGCAUCUCAAACAAAAAGAAGCAAACAAACAAAAUUCUACUUUAGUCCCCUGCUUUUCUUGAAAUAUCUUCUUUCCAUACAGAAAAUCUUCUCACACAUGUUGAAUAUUAAGAGAAAGAAAUCUGACCUCAAAAGAAAAAUUGUCUUAGUUUGGGUUCAAAAAAAAAAAAGAAAAAGUUUAAAUAGAAAAAUUAAGCACAGAGAGACAUAAAUAACAGUUCCUAAGCCCGAUAAACAACUCUGAAGAAAAAUCUUGUAAGAAAACCUAUCUUUCAGUUAAAAAUGACAGAAAUCCAGCUCGCACAAGCUGAAGAGAAAAAGGAAUCCACUGGCUCAUAGAACCAGGAACCGCAGGCCAGGCGCAGUGGCUCACACCUGUAAUCUCAGCACUUUCAGAGGCCGAGGUGGGCAGACUGCUUGAGUCCCGGAGUUCAAGACCAGCCUGAGCAAUGUGGCAAAACCCCAUCUCUACUAAAAAUAUAAAAAUUAGCUGGGCACUGUGGCACGCCUGUAGUCCCAGCUACUCAGAAGGCUGAGGUGGGAGGAUCGCUUGAGCCUGGGAGGUGGAGGUUGCAGUAAGCAGAGAUCACACCAGUGCUCUCCAGCCUCGGUGACAGAGCAAGAGAGUCUCAAAAACAAAAAAGGUGGGCUUGGCUUCAAGCACAGAUCAAUCUGAUACAGAGCAGGCAAGCCCCAAAGUAGGGCUGAGCCCAUGAGACUUCUUGGCUUUGCCCAGGAAAGAAUUCAAGGGCAAGCUGAAGGUAAAAGAAAACAGCUUUAUUGAAGCGGUAGUGUUACAACCCUGUGACUGCUCCUGCAGAGCAGGUUUACCCUGUAGGCAGACAGGAGCAGCUCCGGGCAGUCUGGCAGCCACAUUUAUACCUACUUUUAAUAACAUGCAAAUUUGGCCGGGUGCGGUGGCUCAUGCCUGUAAUCCCAGCACAUUGGGAGGCGGAGCCAGGCAGAUCACCUGAGGUCAGGAGUUUGAUACCAGCCUAGUUAGCAUGGCAAAACCCCGUCUCUAUUAAAAAUACAAAAAUUAGCUGGGCAUGGUGGUACACACCUGUAAUCCCAGCUACUCGGGAGGCUGAGGCAUGAGAAUCGUUUGAACCUGGGAGGCAGAGGUUGCAGUGAGCCGAGAUCAUGCCACUGCACUCCAGCCUGGGCGACAGAGUGAGACUUUGUCUCAAAAUAAAUAAGUAAAUAAAAAUAACAUGCAGAUUAAAGGGCAGUUUAUGCAGAAAUUUCUAGGGAAGGGGGCCGGGCGCGGUGGCUCAUGCCUGUAAUCCCAGUACUUCGGGAGGCGAAAGUGGGCAGAUCACCUGAGGUCAGGAGUUCAAGACCAGCCUGGCCAACGUGGUGAAACCA
rnacentral:lncRNA from 10 species